AUGAGGGUUCUGGGACUAGCUCCGGUGGAAAGAGCAAGAAAAUGACAGGCAUCUAGGGUCACCUGGCUUAAGGCAGGAGAUGCAUGCACGACAUUUUUUCAAGCGAAGAUAAACUCAAGAAGAAGGAAGAACUUCAUCCACUCACUGCAAAUAGACAAGGUUACUGCCACUGCCAAUGAGGACAAACCCUCAGUUGCACACCAUCACUUCAUGAACUUGCUGGGACGAAAGGAAGUCAGACGAUGAUCCAUCAAUUGGGAUGAACUAGACAUGCUAAGGUUACAAAAUGAAGGGCUUGAUAACCCGUUCUCUGAGUCGGAUGUUUGGGCUGCUAUCUUGGCUUCCCUGGCAGAAUAA
rnacentral:rRNA from 1 species